UUGACUGUUGUAGUAAAUCUGUCAAAUCGUAACUCAGGUGUCUCAAGGUGAGCUCAGCCAAGACAGACGUCUGGCGAAGAGAAAAAGGGCAAAAGUGCACUUGAUUUUGAUUUUCAGUACGAAUACAGACCGUGAAGGCGUGGCCUAUCAACACUUUUGACGAUCGAAUGUUCAGAGUUUGAAGAAAGAG
rfam:Hymenolepis microstoma genomic scaffold, pathogens_HYM_scaffold_0518